GAUGAACGCUAGCGGCAGGCCUAAUACAUGCAAGUCGGACGGGAUUCAGGAGCUUGCUUCUGAUGAGAGUGGCGCACGGGUGCGUAACACGUAUGUAACCUACCUUUAUCAGGGGGAUAGCCUCUCGAGAGAGAGAUUAAGCCCGCAUAAAAUCACAGCACAGCAUUGUGUAAUGAUCAAAUAUUUAUAGGAUAAAGAUGGGCAUGCGGAACAUUAGCUAGAUGGCGGGGUAACGGCCCACCAUGGCGACGAUGUUUAGGGGAUCUGAGAGGAUGGCCCCCCACACUGGUACUGAGACACGGACCAGACUCCUACGGGAGGCAGCAGUAAGGAAUAUUGGUCAAUGGGCGGAAGCCUGAACCAGCCAUGCCGCGUGCAGGAAGACGGCCCUACGGGUUGUAAACUGCUUUUAUACGGGAAUAAACCCAGAUACGUGUAUCUGGCUGAAUGUACUGUAAGAAUAAGGAUCGGCUAACUCCGUG
rnacentral:rRNA from 1 species